CUGGAUAUAGCAUACAGUUCAUGACCAAAUACAUAAAUCUAACACUAUUUUACUAUUAAAAUCCAUUAAUCCCAAGGCUCAAGGUCUCUUCGACUAGCACACCUAGAGGAAACUUGAUUCUUGCAAAUCAUAGAGGAAACUCGAUUCUUGUAACUUGGACAGAUCUGAUGAAGCUGCCAUCUUUGCCGCAAUUCAAACGCACACUGGAGCUCAGAGCACAACCUCAGCAUGCAUGACAAGAAG
rnacentral:misc_RNA from 1 species